rnacentral:rRNA from 1 species
CUACGGGGGGCUGCAGUGGGGAAUAUUGCACAAUGGGCGAAAGCCUGAUGCAGCAACGCCGCGUGAGUGAUGAAGGCCUUCGGGUCGUAAAACUCUGUCCUCAAGGAAGAUAAUGACGGUACUUGAGGAGGAAGCCCCGGCUAACUACGUGCCAGCAGCCGCGGUAAUACGUAGGGGGCUAGCGUUAUCCGGAUUUACUGGGCGUAAAGGGUGCGUAGGUGGUUUCUUAAGUCAGGAGUGAAAGGCUACGGCUUAACCGUAGUAAGCUCUUGAAACUGGGGAACUUGAGUGCAGGAGAGGAAAGUGGAAUUCCUAGUGUAGCGGUGAAAUGCGUAGAUAUUAGGAGGAACACCAGUAGCGAAGGCGGCUUUCUGGACUGUAACUGACACUGAGGCACGAAAGCGUGGGGAGCAAACAGGAUUAGAUACCCCGGUAGUC